rnacentral:rRNA from 1 species
UACCAGCACCCCGAGUGGUCGGGACGUUUAUUGGGCCUAAAGCAUCCGUAGCCGGUUCUACAAGUCUUCCGUUAAAUCCAACUGCUUAACAGGUGGGCUGCGGAAGAUACUAUAGAGCUAGGAGGCGGGAGAGGCAAGCGGUACUCGAUGGGUAGGGGUAAAAUCCGUUGAUCCAUUGAAGACCACCAGUGGCGAAGGCGGCUUGCUGGACCGGUUCUGACGCUGAGGCGCGAAAGCGUGGGGAGCAAACGGG